AUUGAACGCUGGCGGCAGGCCUAACACAUGCAAGUCGAACGAGUGGCGGACGGGUGAGUAAUGUCUGGGAAACUGCCCGAUGGAGGGGGAUAACUACCGGAAACGGUAGCUAAUACCGCAUACCAUCGGAUGUGCCCAGAUGGGAUUAGCUAGUAGGUGGGGUAACGGCUCACCUAGGCGACGAUCCCUAGCUGGUCUGAGAGGAUGACCAGCCACAUUGGGACUGGGACACGGUCCAGACUCCUACGGGAGGCAGCAGUUGGGGAUAUUGCACAAUGGGCGCAAGCCUGAUGCAGCCAUGCCGCGUGUAUGAAGAAGGCCUUCGGGUGGUGAAGUACGUUCAGCGAGGAGGCGUUACUCGCAGAAGAAGCACCGGCUAACUCCGUGCCAGCCGCCGCGGUAAUUC
rnacentral:rRNA from 1 species